rnacentral:rRNA from 1 species
UACGAAGGGUGCAAGCGUUAAUCGGAAUUACUGGGCGUAAAGGGCGCGUAGGUGGUGGCUUAAGCGUGCGGUGAAAGCUCGGGGCUCAACUCCGAGUCGGCCGUGCGAACUGGGCUCACUGGAGCAUAGUAGAGGCAGGUGGAAUUCCGGGUGUAGCGGUGGAAUGCGUAGAGAUCCGGAAGAACACCGGUGGCGAAGGCGGCCUGCUGGGCUAUGGCUGACACUGAGGCGCGACAGCGUGGGGAGCAAACAGG